GAUGAAGAACGCAGCGAAAUGCGAUAAGUAAUGCGAAUUGCAGAAUUCCAGUGAGUCAUCGAAUCUUUGAACGCACAUUGCGCCUCCUGGCAUUCCGGGAGGCAUGUCUGUUCGAGCGUCAUCAAAAACCAUCGCAAGCGAAUGCACUUAUUUUGCGCGGUAUUGACGAUUGAGCGAUAAGUUUCUUAAAAUCAGAGAGAGAAAAACAGUAUUAUUUGAAAAAACAUCUCGAUUUUAUUCGCACCUCGUCGAAAUGAUUUGCGGGCGGAAUCUGGGAUCGGGCUCCUCGGCGUAGUGUACCAAUGCAUAUUUAUGUAACUUGUCGCGGAGUCGAGCCUGACCCACGCGUUCUUGCCGUGAAGAAACCCAUCAAUUUCACAAGUUUUUGACCUCGGAUCAGGUAGGGAUACCCGCUGAACUUAAGCAUAUCAAUAAGCGGAGGA
rnacentral:misc_RNA from 1 species